rnacentral:rRNA from 1 species
GAGUUUGAUCAUGGCUCAGAACGAACGCUGGCGGCGUGGAUAAGACAUGCAAGUCGAACGGGAGAAUUGCUAGCUUGCUAAUAAUUCUCUAGUGGCGCACGGGUGAGUAACACGUGAGUAACCUGCCCCCGAGAGCGGGAUAGCCCUGGGAAACUGGGAUUAAUACCGCAUAGUAUCGAAAGAUUAAAGCAGCAAUGCGCUUGGGGAUGGGCUCGCGGCCUAUUAGUUAGUUGGUGAGGUAACGGCUCACCAAGGCGAUGACGGGUAGCCGGUCUGAGAGGAUGUCCGGCCACACUGGAACUGAGACACGGUCCAGACACCUACGGGUGGCAGCAGUCGAGAAUCAUUCACAAUGGGGGAAACCCUGAUGGUGCGACGCCGCGUGGGGGAAUGAAGGUCUUCGGAUUGUAAACCCCUGUCAUGU